rnacentral:rRNA from 1 species
UACGGAGGGUGCGAGCGUUGUCCGGAAUCACUGGGCGUAAAGAGCUCGUAGGCGGCUUGUCACGUCGACUGUGAAAACCCGGGGCUCAACUCCGGGCCUGCAGUCGAUACGGGCUGGCUUGAGUGCGGUAGGGGAGACUGGAAUUCCUGGUGUAGCGGUGAAAUGCGCAGAUAUCAGGAGGAACACCGGUGGCGAAGGCGGGUCUCUGGGACGGAACUGACGCUAAGGCGCGAAAGCGUGGGGAGCGAACAGG